CAGAUUUCUGACAGCGAUGGUGAGGGAAGCAGUGUACCGAACUCUCAGAUGACUCGGACCAGGUGACCAAACCCAUGCAAAACACAAUGGAGAUUAACAAGAGGCUGGAUGCUGCGUCCAUCACCAGAGGGGCCGGGAUUGCUGCGGCAGCUAGCCAAUUAAAGGAGGAGGAUGAAGGAGAGGAGUCUGACGAUGCAGACAUCGCCAUCGUAUGCAGGCCACGCCCUCGCAGGAAAACCAGCCAAUGAAAACGCUCGCAGCAGCAUCAGCAGAACACACCGGCACGACUGACAGAGCUUCUGAAGCAUGCAGUGGAAGAGCUGUCAGUCAAGCUAAAGGUCCCGCCCUCCAACCUGCUGCUGCUGCACGGAGAGGCGGAACUUAACACCUCACACACUAUUGGCCAGCUAGGACUCUGCAUCGCUGACAUCAUUGUCUGGAACCAACUUCACAUCCCUCUUCACUGCACUACUGACACUGAGAUGGAAUCCACAACCCAACCACUAGUGGUCUGCAUUGGGAACCUGAAGAGUCUGUCAUCACCACCAGGAAUGACCGCGUGACCAUUCCCGUUGCAGACGGCCUGACUUGCACAAUUGACAAGCUGUUCAAGCUUUACUGGGUCUGCAACUUGUCAUAUCCAGCACAGCUCAGCUCUGUUUUCACCUUCUUUGAAUAUGUUUAUGACGUUCCAUCUCAACCAACAAACGACCAAAGGUACUAGAACUUCUCUCAAAGCUUCCCAGCAACCCAGUGAUCACUCAACAUGUGUUUAUGCCCAAGUACACGCUUUGUCAGAUGCACAGGGCAUGACGAUAAUAUGCAGCCAAGAUGGCUGUUCAAGUGUACAAGGACUUACUACGUAGACACCACCAGUCCACAACAACAGAAAUGGGUGUAUCUUUCAAUGACUCUUUUGAAUCCACUGACAUUCAGACAACCUAUGCAGCUUCAAGUAACACCUGAAGAAAGAGCAUUUUGUGUUCCUUCUCAAGGACAGAUUCUCUAUAAUUUACCACUUAAUGACAAUUUAUCUGUGUUCAUGCUUGUUAGGAU